rnacentral:lncRNA from 1 species
CAGUACAUCAACAUCAUCAUAAUAAUCAACAUAAUAAUAAUAAUCAUGCUUAUAAUAAUAAUAAUAAUAAUAAUAACACCAACCACUACCAAUAACAACAAUAAUAAUAAUAACAACAUAGUAAGACAUGAAAUAUGGAAGCAAUAUUAUUUAACUAUAUAGCUUCAACUCAUGGAUAUAGCAUCCUCUUAUGCAUUGCUUACGUGUUUGGUGUACCUGCCAUAUAGAAAAAAAGAAUCUAAGAAUCCACAAAUAUUAAUUAGUAUUUGUUUAUAAAAAAAUAAUCCACCUAACCUAAACUCUCUAAGAAAAUCCGGGUUAUCUCCUACUGAAAAUUUGUCUAACUGUCUGAUGGUGUCAAUAAAAUUUCACCCAAGAUUCGGACUAGGACCAACUAAUAUAAUUCUGCAAUCACUAAUCUUUUAUUAUAGAUUUACUAUUCCAAUUAUUAUCUAAGCAUAAUCCAUUGUCAAUCUUAAGCCUAAUCAACAUGUAAAUAAUAUAUAUGCAUCUCGAGGAUAUAUUAUCUAAUUCUCAAUAUUAUUUAAUUGGCCGAAACUAGAGUCUCUAAAAAUAAUAUAUUGACCUGAUAACUUAAAUUCCCAAUCAAGCCGCAAUUAACUACAAUUAGUAAUUAAAUAAGUAUUAUUUCUGAAAUUGAUGAAUCCACUAAUGGAAAUCUUUAACAAAAAAAACACCAAGCAAUAAAUUUUAAUUUUUUUAAUUAAUAUCCAAUUAAACUCAUUUAAACCUAUAAAUAUUCAUUAAUUUCUAAUUAAACCAUAUUCCUAACAAUUAACAUCUAAUCGUAAUGAUAAAUGAAUAAACCAAUAAAUAAAAAAAUUAAACAAUUAAAAUCAAGUUCGAGUUCAAAAUUUCCCUAUCAAGCUGAAUUAAGUCACAGUACCAUCACAGCAGUAAUAAAAUUAAAUCGGAACUACUGCUCGGUGGCACACAUCUCAAGGUCACCAAGCCUAGUCGUUGAAAAAAAAUUUCACCGGUGACAAAAAUGCAAUCCAAACACACCAACAUGUAAAUCGUGAGUCAAGGAGCCCAAAGUACAAAUAUUUCUGCUUAACUAUUGCUGGAAUCCCCCAAAUCGAUAGAAACACCUUCGGGUCUAGUGAGGCUCCGUUCAACGGAGAAACGUGAAUGUUGGGGGGUUGUUAUUUGCUGCCUAGAGGUUCUUGAGUGCGGGGAUUCCAUUGCUGGCCUUAAAUCAACCAAAGAAUGUCGACAAGUGGCGGUUUCAAUGGUGGCAACAAAGAGGCCGAAACUUUUGCUUCAUCAAAUCGUCAUUUCUAGGCAGUUUUUAACAAAACCAGUGGUGUAGGUGAGCUCGUGCCAUCAAGAAGAGGUUCUGGUAAGAACAUGGCGGUGAGAGGUGGGCGAAAAUGGAUGAACGAAGCAGAGAGGGGCAACGACGUGUGAGAAUCGGGGAGAGAGAAAAUAGGGGGAGGAACUUGUUUGGUUAUUUGCUAUAUUGCAAAUUGUAUAUAGGCUCCCCUUUUUUAAAUUACUGCUAUAGUAGCCCA